rnacentral:rRNA from 1 species
AGUGAACGCUGGCGGUAGGCCUAACACAUGCAAGUCGAACGGCAGCACAGUAAGAGCUUGCUCUUACGGGUGGCGAGUGGCGGACGGGUGAGGAAUACAUCGGAAUCUACUUUUUCGUGGGGGAUAACGUAGGGAAACUUACGCUAAUACCGCAUACGACCUACGGGUGAAAGCAGGGGAUCUUCGGACCUUGCGCGAUUGAAUGAGCCGAUGUCGGAUUAGCUAGUUGGCGGGGUAAAGGCCCACCAAGGCGACGCUCCGUAGCUGGUCUGAGAGGAUGAUCAGCCACACUUGAACUGAGACACGGUCCAGACUCCUACGGGAGGCAGCAGUGGGGAAUAUUUGACAAUGGGCGCAAGCCUGAUCCAGCCAUACCGCGUGGGUGAAGAAGGCCUUCGGGUUGUAAAGCCCUUUUGUUGGGAAAGAAAAGCAGCAGGUUAAUACCCCGCUGUUCUGACGGUACCCAAAGAAUAAGCACCGGCUAACUUCGUG